rnacentral:lncRNA from 1 species
GGGGGGGUCAGGAAGGGCAGUAUCAUUUCCAUGUGGGGGUUUUAAAGUAGAAGGAUUUUUCUUGGAGAAAAAGGCAAAAGCCACUCUCUUUAGCUGUAAAAAUGCCUAGUCCCUGUCAGUUUUGAAGUACUACUGCUGCCAGAGAAUCGAUCUGUCCUUGGAGAGUAAGUAUGCUUUGGGCCACCUGUUGAAGAUCUUAGAUGAACUGGAAAGAGGACUGAAGGUAUAAGGUUAGGGAGGUGGCCAGUCCUGCUGUUCUGGGGGCUACACUCGAGGUUAUUCCUGAAACAGCCAGGAGGGGCAGGAUUAGAAUUGCCCUUCUGUUAUGCUGGGCAGAUGGCUAUUGAGUCCACAACUGGGAUUGCUAGGGGCUUUUCUGUGUGGAUCUCCUCUAAUUUAGGGAAAAGAAAUACUAGUGUACAAACUCCUGACCAGCUGACAGGUAGACAGUGAUAUGCCUGAGUACCACCAAAAAUUGGCAUCUUCUAGACUGUAGGGCUUUGCAGUAGAGACAAGUUAUCUAGUUAUGGUCUUGCAUCCGUCUAGGGAACUUAAUGUUCCUACGGGAUGUGUCGUCCUGGAUGCCUUUAAACAGUCUGCCACACCAAAGAGGAUGAUGUAGAAAGGGUAGGGGGUCGUGGCAACACCAGGGUCAGGGAGAUUGAUGAAAGGCAAAGCAAGGCUAAAUGGCAAUUGUGAGCUGUUUCCAGGGAGACACACACGGUCAGCAGUCUCCAAAGUGGCCAGG